rnacentral:rRNA from 1 species
UACGUAGGGUGCAAGCGUUGUCCGGAUUUAUUGGGCGUAAAGAGCGUGUAGGCGGCCAAGCAGGUCCGCUGUGAAAACUCGAGGCUCAACCUCGAGACGUCGGUGGAAACCGUUUGGCUAGAGUCCGGAAGAGGAGAGUGGAAUUCCCGGUGUAGCGGUGAAAUGCGCAGAUAUCGGGAAGAACACCCGUGGCGAAGGCGGCUCUCUGGGACGGUACUGACGCUGAGACGCGAAAGCGUGGGGAGCGAACAGG